AUUGAACGCUGGCGGCAGGCCUAACACAUGCAAGUCGAGCGGAUGAGAGGAGCUUGCUCCUUGAUUUAGCGGCGGACGGGUGAGUAAUGCCUAGGAAUCUGCCUGGGAGUGGGGGAUAACGUCCGGAAACGGGCGCUAAUACCGCAUACGUCCUACGGGGGAAAGCAGGGGACCUUCGGGCCUUGCGCUAUCAGAUGAGCCUAGGUGGGAUUAGCUAGUUGGUGAGGUAAUGGCUCACCAAGGCGACGAUCCGUAACUGGUCUGAGAGGAUGGGCAGUGAGACGGGAACGGAGACGCGGUGCGGACUCCUACUGGAGACAGCAGUGGGGAAGAUUGGAGAAUGGGCGAAAGCGUGAGCCAGCCAUGCCGCGUGUGGGAAGGAGGUCUUCGGAUUGUAAAGCACUUUAAGUUGGGAGAAAGGGUUGUAGGUUAAUGCUCUGCAAUUUUGACGUUACCGACAGAAUGAGCACCGGCUAACUUCGUGCCAGCCGCCGCGGUAAGAC
rnacentral:rRNA from 1 species